rnacentral:rRNA from 1 species
AAAUUGAAGAGUUUGAUCAUGGCUCAGAUUGAACGCUGGCGGCAGGCCUAACACAUGCAAGUCGAGCGGAAACGAGUUAUCUGAACCUUCGGGGAACGAUAACGGCGUCGAGCGGCGGACGGGUGAGUAAUGCCUAGGAAAUUGCCCUGAUGUGGGGGAUAACCAUUGGAAACGAUGGCUAAUACCGCAUGAUGCCUUUGGGCCAAAGAGGGGGACCUUCGGGCCUCUCGCGUCAGGAUAUGCCUAGGUGGGAUUAGCUAGUUGGUGAGGUAAGGGCUCACCAAGGCGACGAUCCCUAGCUGGUCUGAGAGGAUGAUC